AUUUGCAUAAAAGUAAGAGGGCACUAAAUAACGAACAUUCUUGAAAAAAUCGGGAUUUUGACCAAAUUUCAUUUUUUUUAGAGGUUAUGAAGGGGUGGCAACUAUCUAAACUUAUGUUAGUGUAUACUCAAAAGUAUCCUUAAUAUCACUAUUAAAACAAAACUCAUGCACUCCGAUUUGCAUAAAAGUAAGAGGGCACUAAAUAACGAACAUUCUUGAAAAAAUCGGGAUUUUGACCAAAUUUCAUUUUUUUUAGAGGUUAUGAAGGGGUGGCAACUAUCUAAACUUAUGUUAGUGUAUACUCAAAAGUAUCCUUAAUAUCACUAUUAAAACAAAACUCAUGCACUCCGAUUUGCAUAAAAGUAAGAGGGCACUAAAUAACGAACAUUCUUGAAAAAAUCGGGAUUUUGACCAAAUUUCAUUUUUUUUAGAGGUUAUGAAGGGGUGGCAACUAUCUAAACUUAUGUUAGUGUAUACUCAAAAGUAUCCUUAAUAUCACUAUUAAAACAAAACUCAUGCACUCCGAUUUGCAUAAAAGUAAGAGGGCACUAAAUAACGAACAUUCUUGAAAAAAUCGGGAUUUUGACCAAAUUUCAUUUUUUUUAGAGGUUAUGAAGGGGUGGCAACUAUCUAAACUUAUGUUAGUGUAUACUCAAAAGUAUCCUUAAUAUCACUAUUAAAACAAAACUCAUGCACUCCGAUUUGCAUAAAAGUAAGAGGGCACUAAAUAACGAACAUUCUUGAAAAAAUCGGGAUUUUGACCAAAUUUCAUUUUUUUUAGAGGUUAUGAAGGGGUGGCAACUAUCUAAACUUAUGUUAGUGUAUACUCAAAAGUAUCCUUAAUAUCACUAUUAAAACAAAACUCAUGCACUCCGAUUUGCAUAAAAGUAAGAGGGCACUAAAUAACGAACAUUCUUGAAAAAAUCGGGAUUUUGACCAAAUUUCAUUUUUUUUAGAGGUUAUGAAGGGGUGGCAACUAUCUAAACUUAUGUUAGUGUAUACUCAAAAGUAUCCUUAAUAUCACUAUUAAAACAAAACUCAUGCACUCCGAUUUGCAUA
rnacentral:lncRNA from 1 species